AUCUGUCCGGCUGCUCUCUGGCCCUCGGUUAUUCGGCACAAGUUUCAGUUCUGACAAGUUCCGAGAAACAUGAGGUCCCUGAUUUCUCUCAGUCUGCUGCUGGCGGUCUUCUCCUGUGUCCAGGCCGCUGUGGUGAUGACACAGCCGCCGACUCUCACCGGGAAAACCGGCCAGUCCCUGAGACUGACCUGCAGAAGCAGCGGAUUUUACAGCUCCUAUUACUACUGUAUGUUCUGGUACCGGCAGCUUCCCGGGAAGCAGCGGGAAAAGCUCCUCACUUCUGACACCUACUCCAGCAACAGUUUCGAGUCCGGUUUUGGAAACCGCGUCACUGUCGUCAGAGAGAAUUCCAAUCGCAUCUUCGAUCUGAUCAUCAAAAGCCCGAGAGUGGAGGACACCGCGACCUACUACUGUGCAGCGGACUCACAGUGCGAGGGAACUGGGCUGAACUCCUACAAAUACUCAAGGGGAGGAAAGCAUGCCUGCGGCAGCCCUGACUACUGGGGACAAGGCACAGCGGUGACGGUGACUGACGGGAAUGUACAACCGAAACCAUUGCCCCCAGUUGUGUUCCUCACACAGCCUUCCCCUGAAGACAUCAAAAUACACAACCAGGCCACUGCUGUCUGCUCAAUAAACAGCUUCCGACCGGACAAACUCAGUGUUAAAUGGCUAAAAGAUUGGGAACCCAUCAACUCUGGUGUUGUGACCUCUCCCUCGGCUAAAGAGGACAACGGGACAUUCAGCAGCAGCAGCCGCCUGACGGUCCCCGCCAGAGAGUGGAGCACUGGCGCGGUUUACACCUGCCAGGUGUCCCAUGAACCCACCCAGACCAUCAUUGUCAAGAACAUCACCACCCCAACAGAUAAUGUACCUAAGCCAUCGCCGCCAGUUGUUAUCCUCACACAAACUUCCCCUGAAGACAUCACCAGGCACAACCAGGCCACUGCUGUCUGCUUAGCAUUUGGUUUUCAUCCGGACAUACUCCGGGUUAAAUGGCUAAGAGACUGGCUGCCCAUCACCUCAGGUGUUGUGAGUUCUCCCUCGGUUAAAGGAGACAACGUGACAUUCAGCACCAGCAGCCGCCUGACUGUCCCCGCCAGAGAGUGGAGGAGUGGCGCGGUUUAUACCUGCCAGGUUUCCCAUGAACCCACCCACACCAUCAUUGUCAAGAACAUCACCUCAGAAUGCGAGGAUCCCUCUGGAGGUGUCAAGAUCUAUUUCCUGCCACCUGCACAGCGACAGGUUUUGAUGGAUUCCUCUGUAACGCUAACAUGUGUCGUGGUUAAUGCACCACUUCACGUCAACGUGACUUGGACACAAGGAAAUACACAUUUGCAGUCUGGAUAUGGGAAAACUUCUGCCACUGAGCCUCAGAAAGUGAUCAGUAAAUUAAACAUUUCUGUAUUAGACUGGAACAGUGGUAAAGAAUACUUCUGUGUCGCCAGCCAUGAUGAUAUACCAUCUCCCAUCAGAGAAAAGACGUUUAAGAAGACAGUGGAGCACGUGAAACGACCUUCAGUGUAUCUCCUCCUCCCGUCGGCAGAAGAAUUGUCUGCUCAGCAGUCUGUCACCCUCACCUGCCUGGUGAAGGACUUCGCUCCCAAAGAGAUCUUUGUGCAGUGGACUGAGAAUGACCAGUUGAUUGAUGGCAGUAAAUACAAGAACACUGAUGUGAUGGCAGAAAGUGCAGAUCGCAACUACUCCAUGUACAGCAUGUUGUCCAUCUCAGCCGGAGACUGGGGCAGAGGAAACUCCUACUCCUGUGUGGUCGGACAUGAAACUUUCCCAAUGAAGACUCUGACCAGAUCCGUUAAUAAAUCCAGCGAUUUGCCAAACGAGAUGAUGCUGGAAGGAUUUCAAGAAGUUCAGUGUGAUAAUCUCUGGCCUACUGCUUCCACCUUCAUCAUCCUCUUCUUCCUGAACAUAUUCUACAGCGCUACCGUAACUCUUUUUAAGGUAAAAUGAAUUAAUUAAGAUCAGCUUCAACGAUGUGUCCCGUCCGUUUGUGCUUAACAACAGCGUCGUGUGAAAGAUUACGCGCUGCCAUUUUUCACUCAUUGUACAAAUCACUUAAAUUAAACAUUGUAUUGUGCAACUACUUGAACUUUAGUGGCUUUUGUUAUUGUUAGUUUAUUUUAGAAAUGUGCCUUUAGGUAACAAUAACUGAAGUUGUUACUGUCACGCCUCUCUGAUAUUCUCUCUAUGCUGUUUCCCAUUUUAUUGGUGUAAAGAAACAGAAAGUUAGUGGCUGAGAUAAUUUGUCCUCUUAUUUUAAUCUGAAUUUUUGAUUCUGCUCCGGUUUCAUAUUAUCUCCAGAUUC